GCCUCCCAAAAACGAUUUUCGUUCUCUUUUGUUUCUUUAUCUGUGUCUCUCUGUAUUUGCUUGAUUUGCGUGUUUUCCCGUUUCGUUUUAUGUGUUAAUGCUUGAUUUGAUUAUGUGUCUAUGUAUUUGUUUCUGUAAAAUUUAGCUUUGCGUUUUGGGUGUCCUCAAAAUCCGACAAUGCAGAUCGAAUGGUUCAAAUAGAGAUUCCGACAUUGAUUUUCAUCCUAGGGUAAGCAUAAUAUUUUCCUGUUCAUAGAACCUCCAGCUUAUAUUCUUUAACUGUGCUUCAUUUUUUCAUUAUUUUAAUUCUGAAGUUAAAUUGUUUAAUUUUACUUUCACUUCGUAGGCCGAUGAGCAAUUCUUUUUUAAUACUGGAGGAUCUUGUGCUCCUUUUUGGGAAAUAGGGGAAUAUUUCAGGUAUUUGCUAAACUUGCUAAGUGCUAACAAAACUGGUACAUGAAUCAUGAUAUAGAGGAUUAUCCAGUUUUAAUUCCCUCGGUUACUUAUAAUGGGACUUUGGUCGGUAUAUGUUAGUUUUUCUAUUCUAUUGGAUAAUUCAUGUCAGUAGUUAUCGCUAAUUUAUAAAUGCAUGCUUGGAAAUUAAACCUACAUUCAUGAUUUUGGAUAUUUGGUUGAUACAAAUAUGAAUUGUUUUGGGGUAACCAAACUUAAUUUCUUUUUCCUUCCUCCUUUGUUAUGAAGUAUGUUCCCAUUUCUUGGUAUUGCAAUCAAAAGGUAAAGCACUUGGGAAAAGAACCUACACAUUAUCAAGAAAUUAAUGUGCUUAGGUUCCAUUAAAAAUAAGUUUUAUAAAAUAGUUGUGGAAGCAACUAGCACAUGGUGCUAGAUCUUGUUUGGAGUGUGACUGUGAAUAUUUGAGUUUGAUGGGCCAUUUCAGAUUGAAAAGUAUGAAGCAACAUAUGUUGCGUGCACCCUGUUUGAUGAUAUCCCUAAAAUGACCGAAUAGUUUUUAUUUAUUUAUCAGUUUUUCUAUAACAUGUCAUCUAUUAUUCAGGAAUGCAAAACAUACAUUAUAGGAGUAUACUUCUACUUGACAGAAUUGGGGAAUAAUAUUUGUUAUAUUUGUAUUGUGUAUAAGAAACAUGUUGAAAUGUACCCUAUUUGCUUGCAUGUGUUUUCUAUUGCACUAUUGCUACUUUUGUCUAAUUUUGUGUUAACAAGAAAAAUGAAGUAGUGCUCACCCGAAGGGCAGAGGUUGUAGCGGCUGCGGGUUUCCCUUCUUACCCAAAAAAAAAAGAAAAAUGAAGUAUGACUUUUAGUUAUUCAAUAUAUCUCGAUUUGUUUCCAUGUAUAUUUGAACUGCUGGCUGACUAAGGUUAGAAAGCCUAGAAAGUGGAAUAAAAAUGGUACAAAAAUCCUUAGGAUUACUGCCAUUAGACUCCCUUAUGGAUUGUGAGGUUGACCAUAAUCUUCAAGGAAUAUAAGAAAUGUUAACAGAACGCUGACAUACAUAAAUUAUAAGGUAUCUGGCUUGGUUUUAAGAUUGAGUCCUGUUGUGGGAGGAGGCUUGCAAAAUAUUGGGACUUCUAUUACAGCAACUCUAUCUGAUAUUAAUUGGCACAACAGUUAGAUCGCCAACCUUAACAUAUUGGGAAGUGGUAAGGAUUUGUAACUAAUUGUUAGUUGAUAAGAGAUUCUACCAUAUGUACUGUUAAUCAUGUUGCAAGAAUAUUGAGAAAAGGCAACCAUUGAGACUAAAUCAAGAACUAUGGUCCUCUGGCUCUUAAUACACAUAAGCUCGGCAUGGAUAGAAGUGGUCGGGAUCACAGCUAUUGCCUGUCUUGCUUGGUGCAACUUGUGCAUGGUAUAGAUUUUGCAUACAGUAGGAAUAUGAAGAACAUGGAGAAUAUCAUUAAAAAACCAUAAGAGACAUCAACGUGUAAUCAAGUAAUAUAUGAGCUUUAGGUUACUCCGGAAAAAGUCCAUUAUUGUGCUCGACUAAUGAAUGAUAUACACAAGUGAUGAUUUUGCAUUAUGAGUCUGGAAAAGACAUUGCUAUUUCGCUGCUAUAUCGUAGCAUUAGAAAGGUCAUGAAGUUACUAAACAUGUAUAUAAUGAAUAUACAACUAAAUUCACUCUUCUCCAUAGCCGAGGAAGCAUUGGCCAUAUUGGUGCCCUUAAAUACAGAGGCGGAGCCAGGAUUUGAAGCCUAUGGGUUCGGGAUUUUAAUCAUGUUUAAGUUACUAGGUUCUAAAUUAAUAAUUUGUACAUGUUUAAUGAAUUUCAUCAAACAAAUACAGAGUUUGAACCAAAGCUACUGGGUUCGGCUGAACCCGUAACUCGCUCUCUAGCUCCGCUCCUGCAUAGAUACCUUGUUAUGCUGUCCUAGCCAUCUCGUUCUUGUUUUGCAUGUGUUCAUACAGAUAAAGGUUACUUUACCCUAAAAAGAAAUUAAUGAUAGCCAUUUUUGGUACUUCUUUGUUAUUCUUACCGGUGAGAAUCUGAAUUAAGUGUUCUGUCUUUCCAUCCUUUGUAGCCAUAGGAAUGCAAUAGCAAUUUUGUCGUAUGAGUUUGGUUCAAAUGGAUACCUAUUAUCCCUUUACAGGUAAAGCUGUAAAUAUUUAACACCUCUUAUCAAAUGCAAAGAUCUUGUAACCUUUCUUACUCUGUAUAAGGUAAAUACUUAGCUUUUGGGUGGCAUCCUUUUGAAAAGACAUGUUCUAGCUAUUUUUACACGUGGUCUUUGAGUCCUCCAACAAUAAUCAGUUGCACAAUCUAUUAUAAAGAUCUAGCAGUGUACAACAUGAUGUCCUCUUCUAAUAAAUUCUCUUUUGUGAUUUAGAAGGACUUAUGACAUUCUAAACUAACACCAUAAAUAAUAUUUAAAUAUUUAUUCCGCUAGCGUAUUACGGAAAAUCAUACUGUUAGAAUAAUUGCAAAGAUACUGCUAAAUGGGAGAGUCGAUAGAAACUACAACAACAUACCCAGUAGCUUUCCACAAGUGGGGUCUGGGGAGGGUAAGAUGUACGCAUCCUUACUCCUACCCCUGGAAGGGCAGAGAGGUUGUUUUCGAUAAGACUCUCGGCUAGAGAACGACUGAAAAAGAAAAGGUAAUUUUAACAAGUAGGAAUAACAGUAAGAUGAAAUAAGAUCGAAUCCAAGAAUUCAGUCAAACUCUAGGUAGUAAUAGACAUUUAUAAAUAAAAGAUAUCAUACUAACACUAAUGCUAGCGAACUGAGCAAGACAAAGAGAAACGCUCGACUACCUACGAACCUUCUACCCUAAUCUUUGACCUCCACAUCCUCUUGUCUAGGGCCAUGUCUUCAGUUAGCUCCAGCUCUGCCAUGUCUCGCCUAAUAACCUCUCCCCAAGACUUCUUAGGCCUACCUCUACCCCUCCUGCUGCCCACCGAGGCUAACCGCUCGCACCUUCUAACUGGGGCUUCUAUACUUCUCCUCUUUAUAUGCCCGAACCAUCUCAACCUUGCCUCCCGCAUCUUAUCCUCCACAGGAGUCACUCUCACUUUUUUCCGAAUAACUUCAUUCCUACUCGUAUCUAACCGGGUGUGCCCACACAUCCACCUCAACAUACUCAUCUCUGCUACUUUUAGCUUCUGGGUAAGAGAGUUCUUGACUGGCCAACACUCUACUCCAUACAAUAUAGUUGGUCUAACUACAACCUUGUAGAACUUACCUUUAAGUCUCAGCGGCAUAUUCUUAUCACACAAGACAUCGGAAGCGAGCCUCUACUUCAUCCAUCCUGCUCCCAUACGAUGCGUGACAUCUUCAUCAAUCUCCUUGUUACCUUAUAUUAUAGAUCCAAGAUACUUGAAACUACCUCUUGGGGAUGACUUGCAUAUCAAGCCUCACCUCCAUAUCCCCUUCCUGGGUACCGUUGCUGAACUUGCACUCCAUGUAUUCCGUCUUGGUCCUACUCAACUUGAAAUCCUUAGAUUCUAGGGUCUGCCUCCAAACCUACAACCUCUCGUUAACACCACCCUGUGUCUCGUCAAUUAAAAUUAUGUCAUCAGCAAAUAACAUACACCAUGGCACCUCACCUUAAAUGUGUCUCGUCAAUGCGUCCAUCGCCAAGAAAAAUAGGAAUGGACUAAGAGUUGAUCCCUUGUACAACCCCAUCAUAAUCGGAAAGUGUUCCGAGUCUCCUCCAGCUGUCCUAACCCGAGAUUUAACUUCAUCAUACAUGUCCUUAAUCACCCUAAUAUAGGCUACUGGGACCCCUUUAGCCUCAAAGCAUCGCGAGAUCACCUCUCUCAUAACUUUGUCAUAUGUUUUCUCUAGAUCAAUGAACACCAUGUGCAAGUCCUUCUUCAUCUCCCUAUACCGCUCCACCAAUCUUCUCACAAUGUGAAUGGCCUCCAUAAUUGAACGCCCCUGCAUGAAACCGAACUGAUUCUCAAAAAUGGACCCACUGGUCCUUACCCUCACUUCAACCACCAUCUCCCAAACUUUCAUAGUAUGGCUUAGCAGCUUAAUCCCCCUAUAAUUAUUGCAAUUUUGGAUAUCUUCAUUGUUUUUAUACAGAGGAAUCAUUGUACUUCACCUCCAUUCAUCGGGCAUCUUCUUCGUCCUAAAAAUGACGUUGAACAGCCUGGUGAGCCACUCCAAACCUGCCCUACCCGCAUUCUUCCAAAAUUCCACAGGUAUUUCAUCUGGCCCGGUAGUUCUACCGCUUGUGCAUCUUAUGCAUAGCCCCCUGACCUCCUCUACUCUUAUGCGCCUACAAUACCCGAAAUCCCGACGCAUCUCGGAGUGCUCCAAGUCGCCCAGCACAAUGUCCCUAUCACCCUCUUCGUUCAGGAGUUUAUGGAAAUAUGUCUGCCAUCUUCGUCUAAUUUGAGCCUCUUCCAUCAAAACUCUACCUUCCUCAUCUUUGAUACACUUAACUUGAUCCAGGUCACGGGCCUUCCUCUCUCUCACCUAGGGCUGGGCAUAUAUCGGGUAAAACCGAUAACCUGAACCGUUAAUUGUUUAUUGAGUUAUCGGUAUCGUGUUAUUGGGUUAACGGUUCGGUAACGGUUUAGAAUUUUUUCACUAUUGAGUUAUCGCUUCGGGCCUCGGUUUGACAAUUUUGUUAAUGGGUUAACCGAUAACCCAAUAAGAAUUAAUAAAAUUAUGACUUUACCCUUAAGUAUAUACAUAUGCUAGGGCUUCAGUUCAUUCUCUUAUUCUUUCUCAGCCACACUCUUCAGUUGCUUCAUCUUCAUUCUUUGUAGACUUUACUAGUUACUCCUAGCAUAACUCUUUAGUCUUAUACAUUAGGCUUUUAAUUUCUAUAACAAAAUUCAUCUUUAUAUAGGGAUUGCUUUAUGGUUUCUUUUUUCAGGUUAGACAUUUGACAAACAACAUUCAAUUUAUCUUGGACUGUUUGAGGGCUUCAACGCUUGUGGAAGUGCAGGUAUUGUGUGAAAUAAAAAUUCUAAAUCAAAAGCCCAAACGUCGCAGUCUUAGCCGCAGUAACCGCUAAAUAAUUAUAGGCAAUCAAGAAUUAGGCUUAAACUAACGCAAACUAAUUGGAUACUAACAAGGGAGACAGAGAUAUUAAACAAAGAACAAGAGGUACCAACUCCCGAUUAGUGCGAAACCUGGGUGAAUCGUCGUAAAUGACAAGGCCGCGCUUUUGUAGUAACCUUAGUCAAUUUCCUACUGCCUCCAACCGAUUUUGACGUCCGCCACACGCUCUAAUCCAGUAGUGAAUGCCUGCAAAAAUAGAAGGGGGGUUCAAAGGGAAAAAAGGGGAGGAAGAACAAAGGUAUGCAAAGAAAAACCCAAAUAGCAAUUCACUAAAAAGAUUGUAACUUUAAAUUCAGUUGGAAAAAUAGUGGAAAACAAAGUGAUUGAUUUCAGAAAAGGAUCAGAUUUUAUGGGAAAUCUUGGAAAACGUUUCAAGAAAUGAAUAUUUGGAAAAAAGAAGAAUAGAGUGAAAAAGAAGAUGAAUGAAUCAAAACUAAGGCGUCAGCUAAAAGAAACAACACAGUAAGAAACAAAAAUAACCGUAUUAACAAAAUUAAAAAAGAGAUUGUAUUAGUCUCGUUCUCUGUUUGUUUCUGUAACAGAGUCGUAGCUGCAAAACCCUAGGCCAAGAAGAAAAUGGAGAAUCGAAGCAAAGUAAAGCCAUUUGUAAAAAUCGAAUAAAUUUGCUAUUUUAGUUAUGUGUUUCCGGUCGAUAGAAUCUACGACUUAAAAUUUUAAUUUUGAGCACUCAAAACUGCAGAACAUAGCAAUGCUUGCAAAUUUUCACUUUGCAUAUAUUCUUGCAGAUAGUGAAAAAGGUCAUACUGUAUGUUUUAACUUUUUGGUUCUUGUGUUUCUCUUAUCUUUGAGAAGUUGGAUAGGUCACUCAUCCAAGUUAGUUUGUGCAGCUUUUUACCUGCUUUUGACUUAACACUGUAUUUUAAUUUUCUACAAAAUACUUACUCGACAGUAAUUUAUUGUACAGCACGUUACGCUUCUCUAUUUGCAGUAGUCAUAUUUUAAUGAUCAAACGGUUGGCUACAUCAUGUAAUUGACAGGUUCUGAUAUAUUCGUCAAAGAGUUAAAACGAAAAAAAAGCUCAUCACAAGAGAACUUAAGCGGGUAAAGUGAUCAAUCUUC
rnacentral:lncRNA from 1 species